rnacentral:misc_RNA from 1 species
CAGCACAAAGGAGAGCCGGGGCUCUCCUUCUAGUGUGUUUUGCAGGCUCUUUUUAUUGUUAUAGGGUGGCUGUUGUUGUUUUUGGUACCUGACCCUUUACAGCGUUUUUGUGCGACCCCCAUCCGGGGUCAAGAGCAAACGUAUUUUUUUGAGCGCUGAUUCACUUUAACCACCUGUCUGCACAACAUCAUGGUCCAACCGGUUCUGGCACUACCUCGGGGUAGUU